rnacentral:rRNA from 1 species
CCUACGGGAGGCAGCAGUGGGGGAUAUUGCACAAUGGGGGAAACCCUGAUGCAGCGACGCCGCGUGAGUGAUGAAGUAUUUCGGUAUGUAAAGCUCUAUCAGCAGGGAAGAUAAUUACUGUACCUGACUAAAAAGCUCCGGCUAAAUACGUGCCAGCAGCCGCGGUAAUAAGGAGGGAGCCAGCGUUAUCCGGAUUUACUGGGUGUAAAGGGAGCGCAGGCGGCAGGGCAAGUCUGAUGUGAAAGUCCGGGGCUCAACCCCGGGACUGCAUUGGAAACUGUCAGGCUGGAGUGCAGGAGAGGUGAGUGGAAUUCCUGGUGUAGCGGUGAAAUGCGUAGAUAUUAGGAGGAACACCAGUGGCGAAGGCGGCUUACUGGACUGUAACUGACGUUGAGGCUCGAAAGCGUGGGGAGCAAACAGGAUUAGAUACCCUAGUAGUC